rnacentral:lncRNA from 1 species
GUUCCUGCUUUACAGCUACAAGUUUAUUGCCUCUGACUUUUGAGGGACGGAAGACCGUGCAGGAAUUUUCCAGCACUUGGACCAGAUCAAAAUAAACAGAAGGAGUGAGUCGUUACCUGAGCACCAAUAAUGCUGGGUGAAGCCUGAGCCAAAGAUUUCUCAGGCUGCAAUCUGGGUCCUUGGUAUGAGUGGUUUCACCUUGAGCCCAGGUAUCAUCCCAUCAUAAUCGUUAAGAGAGUCAGAACCAUUUCUUAUCUAUCCGUUGUUUUUUGUUUUGUUUAUAAGAUUAAAAACGUGUGUUCUUUAUUUAAUUAAACUACAAGAUAAGAAGUGUCGAAGUUGCGCAAGAAAGAAUAUCUCAUUCCAAAAGAAAAUUGCCAGCCAUGCAUAUCUCCAAGAGGAGAGAAAGAGAAGAAAUUAACCCUGGGCCAAUUUGAACAUUUUAAGAUUGGCAUGAUGACAACGUAUUUGGCCCUGGCAAUAGAUUAUGGCUGGUACAAACCAGUUCUCAGGAUAUCUUACAACUAGAGGCAGCCUUAAGACCCUGUUUUGUCGAGAAUACCUACUUGGAAGUCUAGUCAAAAGUGGCAGCUCACCCUCCUGUUUCAACUCAGAAGUCCUUCUCCAUUACCACCCCUGUCAAGUGAGGAGCUGCUGUUUCUCCUACUAAUGAGCAGAGCAG